rnacentral:rRNA from 1 species
ACGUAGGGGGCGAGCGUUGUCCGGAUUUACUGGGCGUAAAGAGCUCGUAGGCGGUUUGGUAAGUCGGGUGUGAAAUCUCCAGGCUCAACCUGGAGCGGCCACUCGAUACUGCCAUGACUAGAGUUCGGUAGAGGAGUGUGGAAUUCCCGGUGUAGCGGUGAAAUGCGCAGAUAUCGGGAGGAACACCAGAGGCGAAGGCGACACCCUGGGCCGUACCUGACGCUAAGACGCGACAGCACGGGGAGCGAACGG